UUAAAGUAUAGAUAUGUCUCUGCUAUCAGCUGUGGUUCUAUAAUAGCUGGCAAUACGUCUGCUGUAUCAGGGGCUGCCUGCCAAUAAUAAGCAGAAAUACAUGUGAUUUUAUGCUUCAAUAGCGUGUAAUCCUUAAAACUAUUCUGUUAUCUCUGAGUAAUAGCUCACCAUUGCUAUGUGUUAAAUUACUGCCUUUACUACAGACACUGCGCUUUAAUUGCUUCCAAAGGAUGGUUGCCGCUGUUCUAUCAAAAAACCCUACCCCGUGAAAAUUCCCUACCCUCGUCACUUCCGGUGACGUGGCCGCACCGGAAGUGACUAGGAAAAGCUCUAGGACGGGGGGGAGCGCCGCCACGCAAGCGCACAACUACUAGGUAGGGAAAUUUCACAUUGAGCAGGGGAAAAUAACGGCACAGUGCGCACGCGCGGCACAGUACUCCCAUCGGAGUACCCCAGCCAGAGGGACUGCCCCACAUCUGCAACCAAAUCCGUCGGUCACCGAAUUCAGUAAUCUCUGUCUCUUUGUCCAUUCUGUAUGUAUGGUACUCCCAAUUCUUUUAUUUAAUCCGGUGUGUCUCCCACAAUCUUUGUGUCUGUCUGCUGUAUGUAUGUGGCACGCAAGUCUGCAUGCACUGUGUCUGUUAUGCCAUUUACUCUAACCAGUUUUUCUUUAGUUUUUUUGUGUGUGUCACAACUCUGACAAGCAUGUUCUCCUACGGGACACAAAGUACAUGAAGAGGAAUGAAGAAGCCCAUGUUUGAUACUCGUCUCCAGGGUGGAGUAUUGAAUUUAUAAGUACUGAAGUGGCAUCUGGCACGUGACAAGCUGCUCCUGUUUGCACAGCGACUUCAACAUUGUGUACUGUGAUCACGGCUUAGUUCAGAGGUAGGUAACCUUGGGCAGUCCAGUUGCUGUGAAUUACACCUCCCAUAAUGCUGCAAAGCAUUAUGGAAGGUGUAAUCCAAAACAUCUGGAAUACCGAAUGCGUAUGAAUGAAAAGUAUGGUGUGUGUGAAUGGUCAGUAACAAGGGUUGAAGCCUUGACGUGACGUUACUGCUCACAUGUGUAUCCAUGUGCCAAUUCAACCAAUGUGAGUGACUGUAAUACUUAUGAGGUAACCAUAAAUACCGUGACUAUGGAGAAUUAAAUGCCUGUAUCACCUAAACACUGCUUAUACUGUGACCGUAUCUCCUAAACACUGCGGCCGCACAGGGCGCCAUGGAGCAGGGGGCGCCGUGCGGCUGACACAGCUCACACAUGGCUGGCCGGCAUCUAAAAAAGAAAAUUUGCGGCGGGGGCAGAGCUAAAGGUGCCAGAUAACUGCUGCAGGGGAAGCAGGAAGGAGUGGGGGGGGCGCUGUGAUGAUUUUUGGCACAUGGCGCCUAAAGGCCUAAGGCCGGCCCUGCUCUGUUGCAUUAGACCCAAUUCUGAGAUUAUGACCGAACCCUAAAGCACUUAAAAUGUUUAUGAUAUUUUAUUUAUGUAUUUUGAAUGUUGUGCAAAGACGCCAGAUGGUCACUGUUCCACUUCUAUUCCAGUGGCCAUGAAGGGCAGGUGAAGGUAGUUUUUACUUGACUUAAAAUGUCCUUUGUAUGCAUCUUCUUUCUCAAUGUCCUCUUCAGCUCCUGGAGCGUUAAUCUGCCAGGAGCCAACGGAAGCGCUCUACUCAAGUGUAUGCAUUAGCUCUGUCUUUUGUCAAAAGUAGAAAAAAUACUUAAGAUAAAGUUGUUCCUGUGGGCGUCGCAGAGAUGCUUUAAGUCAAAAUUGAAAGCGCUCUAUCAUUCUUUCUAUUGUACGCCUCUAAUCCUCUACAUGGAAAUUGUAGUUUGUAAAAAUAGAAAAUAUGUAGAUUGUAAUAUGCUUUCUGGUUACGUUCUGGUGAGUUUUAACUUAAUUUUCGAUUUUUACAGCUCCCAAGGGAAGGAGCAAACCGCCUUGAGGAGUCCCUGCAUAAGAGACUAUUGGAUACAGAAGGCUGUACUAAAGGAAGAUCUCAUCACAGCAUCAUCCAAGCCCUAGUCAGGAGUAUAUGAGGCCUCUUUAGAGUAAAGAGCGGCUAACAAUAUCUGAUAAUAGGCCACAUGUGCAAUUAUUAUGUAUAUAAUUAAUGUACAACAUACUUUUUCACUUUUUUGUUACAUUAGAGAUUAACAAAUAUUGUUAGAGUUUUUGUUUACUGCUGCCUUAAAAAAAAUAAUAUUAAAACUCCAAACAUUUUUGAAAUGUGCAGUGAAAUGUGUAUCUGUAAUCAACGUUAACCUGCUAAUUAUUGUGGGACAAUGGAGAGCAACCCCAAACUGGUACUCUAUCAAACAAUCCAGG
rnacentral:lncRNA from 1 species